rnacentral:misc_RNA from 1 species
CUGCAUUUUGUUGCGGCCAACUGUCAUGGGGCGGUCUUUUCACUUUUUCCUUUUGCGUGCUCCUUUUGCCGCGGGCGAUGGUUGCGAAUGGUUGUCUGUUCGGUUCUUUCCCCACGGGGAACUAAUUUGCGGGCUUCGGGACGGUCUUUGCUUGCCCCGUGGAUACUUGCUAUCUUGGGUGCUGCCGUUUCAUUGGGUGAGAACUUGCGUCGCAGUGGUGGAUUGCUCCUAUGCUUCGCUUGUAUUUCGCCGUGUCUCGUGGAUGCUGUGCCCGUCGAGGAUUUCAUGGGCCUCUGUUGCCCUGAUUUUCUCGGGAUCUCUGGUUGUGCACCGGAUCACCGCCCCGCGCCUCCUGUGUCUUGCUGUGGAUGUUGGGCUGUCGGUGCGUUGCGUGCGCGGGCGUGUUCCGAGUGCAUCUGUGAGGUGUUUUUCGAUUCAGAGUGCAACUGUCGGUUCACGCCAUGCGAGUGGAUUCCCGUUUGGGGUGCUCUCGAAUGGCGUGUCGUCUCUUGCUCAGGAUGGGCUACCUGGUUGAUCCUGC